UGAACGGAGAGCGAGCCCGUUCGCUCGCGUUCUCUCGCGCGAACAAUGGCGUCGCACGGCAUGUAUUUGGCGGUUGCGGCUGCCGCAACAGCUGAUUUUGAGAAAAUGGCGCUUGCAACGGUGCUUCCCUGCUACGUUGGCGUUUCUCGAAGCAGAUGCAGAAUGGUAGGAGGUGCGAAAUGCGUUUGAAGAGAUGAGCGAGUGUGAAUUCCAGCGUCGCUUUCGUUUCUCGAAACGUGCUGUACGUUGGUUGUACGACGAACUCGACCCCGUCAUCGGGUGCCAACGAACCAGUGGGAUUUAAACAGAGCGGAAGGUGUUGUGCGCGCUGAGAUUUUUUUGCGAUCGGAUGCUUCCAGCGAGCUGUCGGCAGCGAGGAAUUCAUCGGCCUGUCGCAGUCGUCCGUCAGGAACACGCCAUUACUGUCGUUCGCGGGCAAAAACGGUGGGUGGCCUUUCCGGAGACCACAGAAUCGAAGAGCGAACAAAGGCGGCGUUCGCGCGGCUCGGGCGGAUUCCCGUUGUGGUCGGGUGCGUGGAUGGUACGCUCAUCGCUAUCCAGAAGUCCCAUGGUCUGAGCUCCGCGGACACGACGCAUUACAUGUCGUGGAAGGGAGUCUACGCAUUGAACACCGUGAUCACAUGUGAUGCCGACCUCUGGAUGUCAGUCCAUGUUUCCUGGGGUCAUGUCAUGACUCGUGGGUAUGGCGGGGGAGCACUCUCCGUCAGCACCUGAAAGCAAAACUUCGGCUUGCUUGGAGACUCCAGCUAUACAUUAGAACCGUGGCUCCUGACACCAGUGCCCGGACGACCAGCUCGUGGCACCCCUGAUAACCACUACAACAAGGCCCACACCGCCUUGCACAAUGUUGUGGAGUGGUGCAUCGCUGUAAGCUUGUGCAGAGCUGCACAAGCAUCAUCGCUGCUUGUGCAGCUCUGCACGACAUUGCGUUGGCGGCACAUGAGCCUGUUCUCGAAGGGGACGAUGACGACACCGACGAUGCUGAGCUGCUGCCAGCAGCAGCUGAGCUACCACCACCACAACGGGAGCCAGCAGCAGCGCAACCGUGUAGUGAACCUGUUUCGAGAACCACAGGGCCUGCAUGCUUGAGCACCUGCGCAGAGUACGCCGCCGGCUGCAGCGACCUCAGCAGCAUUGUGUGGUGGCUUCCGCUGCAGUGAGGGCCCAGGCGAGGGUACCAACGCCUUGCAAUUUGUGGACCGCGUCACCGAGAAGUUGAACCUGGCGCAGCUUUCCAAUGAUGCCUGGCCCUGCC